CACGUAGGGGGCGAGCGUUGUCCGGAUUUAUUGGGCGUAAAGAGCUCGUAGGCGGUCUGUCGCGUCGGAUGUGAAAACACGGGGCUUAACCCCGUGCCUGCUUCCGAUACGGGCAGACUAGAGGUAUGCAGGGGAGAACGGAAUUCCUGGUGUAGCGGUGAAAUGCGCAGAUAUCAGGAGGAACACCGGUGGCGAAGGCGGUUCUCUGGGCAUUACCUGACGCUGAGGAGCGAAAGUGUGGGGAGCGAACAGG
rnacentral:rRNA from 1 species